GACGAACGCUGGCGGCGUGCCUAAUACAUGCAAGUAGAACGCAGUUGCGAACGGGUGAGUAACGCGUAGGUAACUGCCCCAUAGCGGGGGGUAACUAUUGGAAACGAUAGCUAAUACCGCAUACUUUGAGAUGGACCUGCGUUGUAUUAGCUUGGUGGUGAGGUAAAGGCUCACCAAGGCGACGAUACAUAGCCGACCUGAGAGGGUGGUCGGCCAAACUGGGAAUGGGGAACCGCCCCGACUCCUACGGGAGGGAGCAGGAGGGAAACUUCGGCAAUGGGGGGAAGUCUGACCGAGCAACGCCGCGUGAGUGAAGAAGGUUUUCGGAUCGUAAAGCUCUGUUGUUAGGGAAGCGGUAACUAAACAGAAAGGGACGGCUAACUACGUGCCAGCAGCCGCGGUAAUAC
rnacentral:rRNA from 1 species